GUGGGGAAUAUUGGACAAUGGGCGAAAGCCUGAUCCAGCCAUGCCGCGUGUGUGAAGAAGGUCUUCGGAUUGUAAAGCACUUUAAGUUGGGAGGAAGGGCAGUAAGUUAAUACCUUGCUGUUUUGACGUUACCAACAGAAUAAGCACCGGCUAACUUCGUGCCAGCAGCCGCGGUAAUACGAAGGGUGCAAGCGUUAAUCGGAAUUACUGGGCGUAAAGCGCGCGUAGGUGGUUCAGCAAGUUGAAGGUGAAAUCCCCGGGCUCAACCUGGGAACUGCCUCCAAAACUACUGAGGUAGAGUACGGUAGAGGGUAGUGGAAUUUCCUGUGUAGCGGUGAAAUGCGUAGAUAUAGGAAGGAACACCAGUGGCGAAGGCGACUACCUGGACUGAUACUGACACUGAGGUGCGAAAGCGUGGGGAGCAAACAGGAUUAGAAACCCCGGUAGUCC
rnacentral:rRNA from 1 species